rnacentral:rRNA from 1 species
CAAGUCGAACGCACUCUCGUUUAGAUAGAAGGAGCUUGCUCCUGAUUGAUAAACAUUUGAGUGAGUGGCGGACGGGUGAGUAACACGUGGGUAACCUGCCCUAAAGUGGGGGAUAACAUUUGGAAACAGAUGCUAAUACCGCAUAAAACCUAACACCGCAUGGUGUAGGGUUGAAAGAUGGUUUCGGCUAUCACUUUAGGAUGGACCCGCGGUGCAUUAGUUAGUUGGUGAGGUAAAGGCUCACCAAGACCGUGAUGCAUAGCCGACCUGAGAGGGUAAUCGGCCACACUGGGACUGAGACACGGCCCAGACUCCUACGGGAGGCAGCAGUAGGGAAUCUUCCACAAUGGACGAAAGUCUGAUGGAGCAACGCCGCGUGAGUGAAGAAGGUUUACGGAUCGUAAAACUCUGUUGUUGGAGAAGAAUGUAUCUGAUAGUAACUGAUCAGGUAGUGACGGUAUCCAACCAGAAAGCCACGGCUAACUACGUGCCAGCAGCCCGCGGUAAUACGUAGGUGGCAAGCGUUGUCCGGAUUUAUUGGGCGUAAAGCGAGCGCAGGCGGUUUCUUAAGUCUGAUGUGAAAGCCUUCGGCUCAA